rnacentral:rRNA from 1 species
GACGAACGCUGGCGGCGUGCUUAACACAUGCAAGUCGAACGGAAAGGCCCUGCUUUUGUGUGGUUCUCGCGUGGCGAACGUGUGAGUAACCCGUGAGUCACCUUCCCUUUACUUUGUGAUAACUUCAGGAAACUGGGGCUAAUACCUGAUACGAGCUCCUGCUGCAUGGUGGGGUUUGGAAAGUUUCGGUGUUUGGGGAUAGACGCGCGGCUUAUUAGCUUGUUGGUGGGGUAGUGGCCUACCCAGGCUUUGACGGGUAGCCGGCCUGAGAGGGUGAACGGCCACAUGAGGACUGAGAGAGGGCGCAGACGCGUAUGGGAGACAGCAGGGGGGAAUAUUGUACAAUGGGCGGAAGCCUGAGGAAGAAACGCCGCGUGCGGGAAGAAGGUUAUGGGGUUGGAAAGCGCAGUAAGCUGUGACGAAGCGGGAGUGACGGUAAUGGGUGAAGAAGCACCGGCUAACUUCGUG